AUGAAAUCCUUGAGUGUUUCACUGGUGGUCCUGUGGCUCCAGCUAAAUGGGGUGAGCAGCCAGCAGAAGGUGCAGCAGAACCCAGAAUCUCUCACUGUUCCAGAGGGAGGCAGGACCUCUCUCAACUGCACUUUCAGUGAUAGUACUUCUCGGUAUUUCGCAUGGUACAGACAACAUCCUGGGAAAGAACCCAAGGAGCUAAUGUCCAUCAUCUCCACUGGUGAAAAGGAAGAGGGCAGAUUCACAAUUCAGCUCAAUAAAGCCAGCCUACAUGUUUUCUUGCACAUCAGAGACUCCCAGCCCAGUGACUCUGCUCUCUACUUGUGUGCAGUGAGCACACAGUGCUCCCCAGGCACCUGCAGCCUGCAUGCAAACCUACUGUGCAGUACCAGCCCUGACAUAGGUCACAGACCACACAGCAGAGACAUUCUGUUUCCAUUCUAUUCUAUAUGCUGUGGGACUUAUAAGCAGGAAUAG